rnacentral:rRNA from 1 species
UGUGAAGUUACUUAAACAACCAGGAGGUUGGCUUAGAAGCAGCCAUCCUUUAAAGAAAGCGUAAUAGCUCACUGGUCUAGUGAUUUUGCGCGGAAAAUAUAACGGGGCUAAAGUAAGUACCGAAGCUGUAGACUUGCGCACAACUUAGAUUAUUUAAGUUUAGAAUAUGAGAAACUAAGUUAUAUGUUUAGUUAUAUUUUUACUGAUUUUUAUAGAGUAAAGAUAGAAAUAAAACUUAGUAAAAUCAGUAAAAAUAUUCUUAGACUAAAGUUAAGUAGUUUAAGUUGUGUGCAAGUGGUAGGAGAGCGUUCUAUUUGCGUCGAAGGUAUACCGGUAAGGAGUGCUGGAGCGAAUAGAAGUGAGCAUGCAGGCAUGAGUAGCGAUAAUUAAUGUGAGAAUCAUUAACGCCGUAAACCCAAGGUUUCCUACGCGAUGCUCGUCAUCGUAGGGUUAGUCGGGUCCUAAGUCGAGUCCGAAAGGGGUAGACGAUGGCAAAUUGGUUAAUAUUCCAAUACCAACAUUAGUGUGCGAUGGAAGGACGCUUAGGGCUAAGGGGGCUAGCGGAUGGAAGUGCUAGUCUAAGGUCGUAGGAGGUUAUACAGGCAAAUCCGUAUAACAAUACUCCGAGAACUGAAAGGCUUUUUGAAGUCUUCGGAUGGAUAGAAGAACCCCUGAUGCCAUCGAGCCAAGAAAAGUUUCUAAGUUUAGCUAAUGUUGCCCGUACCGUAAACCGACACAGGUGGGUGGGAUGAGUAUUCUAAGGCGCGUGGAAGAACUCUCUUUAAGGAACUCUGCAAAAUAGCACCGUAUCUUC